AUGCGUUCCGCCGUGCUGCUCUUGCUUGUCUUCGCGGCGGCGCACGCCGCCGCGGUCGUCACCGACGGUCUCCUGCCGAACGGCAACUUCGAGCUGGGUCCGGCCAAGUCGGAGCUGGUGAACGGGACGGUGGUGAAGGGCGGGAAGGCGAUCCCCAAGUGGGAGACGUCGGGCUUCGUGGAGUACAUCGAGUCCGGGCACAAGCAGGGCGACAUGCUGCUGGUGGUGCCGCAGGGCGCCUACGCCGUCCGCCUCGGCAACGAUGCCUCCAUCCUCCAGCGCAUCCCCGUCGCCCGGGGCUCCUACUACGCCAUCACCUUCAGCGCCGCCCGCACCUGCGCGCAGGCCGAGCGCCUCAACGUCUCCGUCAGCCCCGAGUCCGGCGUGCUCCCCAUGCAGACCAUCUACGGCAGCAACGGCUGGGACUCCUACGCCUGGGCCUUCAAGGCCAAGCUCGACGUCGUCGACCUCGUCAUCCACAACCCCGGCGUCGAAGAGGACCCGGCAUGCGGCCCGCUCAUCGACGCCGUCGCCAUCCGCACCCUCUACCCGCCCACGCUCUCCAAGGGCAACAUGCUCAAGAACGGCGGCUUCGAGGAGGGCCCCUACUUCCUCCCCAACGCCUCCUGGGGCGUGCUCGUGCCGCCAAACAUCGAGGACGACCACUCCCCGCUCCCCGCCUGGAUGAUCAUGUCCUCCAAGGCCGUCAAGUACGUCGACGCCGCGCACUUCAAGGUGCCCGAGGGCGCGCGCGCCGUCGAGCUCGUUGGCGGCAAGGAGAGCGCGCUCGUGCAGGAGGUGCGCACCGUGCCCGGCUGGGCCUACCGCCUCUCCUUCGCCGUCGGCGACUCCGCCGACGGCUGCAAGGGCUCCAUGGUGGCCGAGGCCUACGCCGCGCGCUCCACCCUCAAGGUGCCGUACGAGUCCAACGGCGCCGGCGGCUACAAGCGCGCCGUGCUGGACUUCGUCGCCGUCAGAGACCGCACCCGGGUCGUCUUCCAGAGCGCCUUCUACCACAUGAAGGCCGACGGCACGCUCUGCGGGCCCGUCAUCGACGACGCCAAGCUCGUCGGCCUGCGCAAGAAGCCCGCCGCACGUCGCCUCAUGCUCUAA
rnacentral:rRNA from 1 species